UGGGGAAUAUUGCGCAAUGGGCGGAAGCCUGACGCAGCGACGCCGCGUGAGGGAUGACGGCCUUCGGGUUGUAAACCUCUUUCAGCAGGGACGAAUGUAGACGGUACCUGUAGAAGAAGCACCGGCCAACUACGUG
rnacentral:rRNA from 1 species